rnacentral:rRNA from 1 species
CCUACGGGAGGCUGCAGUGGGGAAUAUUGGACAAUGGGGGCAACCCUGAUCCAGCCAUGCCGCGUGUGUGAAGAAGGCCCUCGGGUUGUAAAGCACUUUCAGUGAGGAAGAACGCCUGGUGGUUAAUACCCAUCAGGAAAGACAUCACUCACAGAAGAAGCACCGGCUAACUCCGUGCCAGCAGCCGCGGUAAUACGGAGGGUGCGAGCGUUAAUCGGAAUUACUGGGCGUAACGCGCGCGUAGGUGGCUUGAUAAGCCGGUUGUGAAAGCCCCGGGCUCAACCUGGGAACGGCAUCCGGAACUGUCAAGCUAGAGUGCAGGAGAGGAAGGUAGAAUUCCCGGUGUAGCGGUGAAAUGCGUAGAGAUCGGGAGGAAUACCAGUGGCGAAGGCGGCCUUCUGGACUGACACUGACACUGAGGUGCGAAAGCGUGGGUAGCAAACAGGAUUAGAUACCCCUGUAGUC